AGCAUGGAGUUGGGGCUGAGCUGCAUUUUCCUUGUUGCUCUUUUAAAAGGUGUCCAGUGUGAGGUGCAGCUUUUGGAUUCUGGGGGUGGCCUGGUGAAGCCUGGGGGAUCCUUGAAACUCUCCUGUGCAGCCUCUGGAUUCGCCUUCAGUAGCUACUGGAUGAGCUGGGUCCGCCAGGCUCCAGGGAAGGGCCUGGAGUGGGUUGGAGAUAUUAAAUAUGAUGGCAGUACCACAAGGUAUGCACCAUCCGUGAAGAGUCGGUUCACCAUCUCCAGAGACAAUGCCAAGAACACUCUGUACCUGCAAAUGAACAGUGUGAAGUCUGAGGACACCGCCACUUAUUACUGGGCUAGAGACACAGUGAGUGAUCUCAGUGUGAACCCAGACAUAAACCUCACUGUGAGCCGCUUUCAGUCACCAGGGGGCACACAGCACACACUGAACACAGGUCCAUCCCAGGAGAUGAUGCAGACAGGGUUAGAGGAAGCACCCAUCAGGUGUCUGGGCUGCACUUUUUCUUGCUGUUUCUUAGAAAUUCUGUCUCCACGUGUGAUGUGA